rnacentral:lncRNA from 1 species
GUGCCUAGCUUGCAUGGAUGAUUUUGGGCUGACAUUCGUGUACGCAGGACGCGCGGGCGCACACGAGUUCAACCAAAUCGGGCUUGGAUUCGCACCCCCCCUGCGCACGCGCGUGUGGAGAGAGCCUCUAUCUUUAUAAUUCUUACUCAUGCAUGGUUAAGUGUUUAUAUUUAAACACUAAUUCCUAGGCUUCUUUUUCCCAUGUGGGAUAAGACUCAUUUCCUUUCAAAUUUUCAACUUCAAGGGGUGAACUUUGAGAGACAAUUUAUCAUUCACCCAAGCACUAUUUUGAGAAAAUAAAAUUAUACUAUUGAAGUAUCAACGGAGUAGAAUCCGAACCUCACAAUAUUUUUCACUUUUGUUAAGUGAGACCCACUCAAAAUGUGCUCUCAAAAUAGCAUGUUAUGCUAUUUUUUCAACACAUAAUAUAGCAGAGAUUGGGUCAUUUAUACUCUAAAAAUUAUUUUGAAUACCCUUAUUAUAUAAUAAGGAUGAGCUUAUUUGAAUCCAUCAAAAUACGAACUAAACCCACAAUUUAAUAAAAAUUCAUAUUAUUAAAACGCCCACAAUAUAAACUACUACUAUAGGCAAAUAAUUAUUAUUAAAGAAAAAAAUUUACUUUCUAGACCAUAUUUAACCUUAUCUCUGAAAUUUUUCAAAAUGAACCUUCAUAUUUUCAUAAACUCUAAGUAACUAGUCAGUUUAAACAUUUGCAUUCAUUUCGAAUUGUUCAAGCCUUGGCGAAAUUGGACAAAUGUUUCUUCAAUUUCAGUUCAACUAAAAACCGAUAGCCUGCAAAGUGCAAACCAGACAAAGAUAGGGCUUUACCAUAACAUCAAGUCAUCAAUCAUGCUCUUGAUGACAGGCUUUAAUAAUAAUCAGAAGCUAUUGCCCACAUACUGCCUUUCCCAAUUAUCUUCUACGGGUAUUUCAAUCUGGAAUUUGAUAUCAUUUGCAAUGAAAUAACACUAGAAAUGGAAAGAAAAUUUAUCUUCAUCAUUUUAGACUUCUCUAAAAAUUGCCCUACUUAAAAAAUUAACACAAUAUUAAAAUAGUUCUACUAAUUUCUCCAUGUCAAUUAUUUGACCAUUUGUUUGGUUGCUUGAUAUCAAACGUGUAAAAUGAACUCGGUAUAAUCAAUGACCGCAAAAAUAAUUUUAGUGGGUUCGUUUGGUAAAAAAUGUCGAAAUAAGAAUAAAGCUAUUAGAAGGCAUAUUUGGUAUUUCAAUCAGUUUAUUGAGUAAUUUUUUAAUUUUUUUAAUUUUAGGGAUUUAUUUCUUUAGUAAAUGGGUAUAAAGUACUUUGGUGAGUUGAAAUAUCACCACCCUUAUAAUAAAAUGAUUUAUUACAAAGAUACCUAUAAUGAGAAUUAUUAUUUAAAAAAAAAAGUCUCUUAUGAAUCAGUAUACCAUAAUAACUUUGAAUACUUAUCUUGUACAUCCAUUUGUUUUAUAAUUACUUUCCUUAAACUUUUAUUUUUGAAUCUUAAACAAUGCUAAGUUGAAAAAUUUGCAAUCCCAUUUUGAUUCUUGAAAAUAAUAAUAAUAAUAAUACUAGAUGAAAUUUCUUUGAAAUUAUUUUUUUAAAAGAUUUUUUAUAGCCGCACAUUGAGACUACGCGAGUAAAGAAUUAUGCCAUUCAAUACUUCAAUUAGCUCACCGACAUAUCAAUGGCUGUACGUAGCAAGCAAGCAAGCAAACAGACCAAGAUGAGUUUUUUCUUAUAAAAAGUCGUACCAAAUCAAGCUCCUAUGCCCUAAUUAAUCUGUUCACAAGUAGAUUUGGUGUUAUUACUCUUCAUUUUGGGAACAAAAAUUAAUGCUUAAUUAUCUAAAUCUCCAUCCAAUUUUAAUUUGAUUAUCUUCAUGUGGAUGUGUGGAAUAGUUUGAAUAGUUUUAUUAUUGUGUAGUACAAAUAAAAAUUAUCAAUCUAUUUUUGAUAUUUUAAAGAGUAUAUUGAGUAAAAAAUUAGUUAAUGAGUAAUGUGGUAUUGAAAUAAUUUUACGGCGUAAAUAGCACUAUUCAUAUAGCAAAAGCAAGACUAAUAGAUUAUAGCAAUUACUGUCUGUUUAGAAGACCUCCAUGAUACAGCUACACCUGCUAGUGUAAACAAAUAGCCACUAGUGAAUUUUGAGUCUUCUACAUCAAAUAUCCAAUUAGCAUCAUUAUAUCCUUCUAAUACUUCUGGAUACCUAGUAUAGUGCAGUCCAUAAUUACGAGUGUAUCGAAGAUACCUGAGUACUCUUACGAUAGCUUUCCAGUGAUCAGUUCCUGGAUUACUUGUAUGUCUACUAAGUUUACUUACUGUAUAGGCUAGAUCUGGUCUGGUACAAUUUGUUAUUCUAGCGUAUUCUACUUGAGAAAUACCUUCUCCUCUAUUUUUCGAUAGAUGUAUACUCGUAUCUAAUGGAGUUUUAGACACGGUAUUAUCAUCCUUUUUAAAUUUCCCAAGAAUUUUAUCUACAUAAUGAGUUUGACUUAGAAUAAGUCCAUUAGAAGCCUUUGAGAUUUUAAUUCCCAAAAUGACAUCUACAAGACCUAUGUAUUUCAUGUCAAACUUAGACUUCAACAUAUUCUUGGUAGAUUUAAUCAUGUCAUCAUCACUCCCAACAAUGAGCAUGUCAUCAACAUAUAAACAUAAAAUGACAUAGCCAUUUUCUAUUUCUUUGACAUAAACACAUUUGUCACUCUCAUUGAUCUUAAAUCCACUUGUGAUCAUCAUAUGAUCAAAUUUUUCAUGCCACUGUUUUGGUUCUUGUUUCAAGCCAUAUAAUGACUUUACUAAUUUACAGACUUUCUUUUCUUGUCCUGGAGCUAUAAAACCUUCAGGCUGCUCCAUGUAGAUUUCUUCAUCUAAAUGUCCAUUUAGAAAAGCCGUCUUUACAUCCAUUUGAUGUAUCUCGAGAUUACGCAAAGCUGCAAUUACUAUUAUCAUCCGAAUGGAAUUUAUUCUCGUAAUAGGAGAAUAAGUAUCAAAGUAAUCAAGGCCUUCUCGUUGCCUAUAACAUUUAAUUACAAGCCUAGCCUUGUACUUAUCAAUUGAUCCAUCGACUUUCAUUUUCCUUUUGAAAAUCCACUUAUACCCCAAAGGUUUACAUCCUGGAGGAAGAUCUACUAGCUCCCAGGUAUGAUUUUGUAAAAUGGAUUCAAAUUCACUAUUAAUGGCUUCUUUCCAUAAAGCGCCUUCAGGUGAAGUUAUAGUUUCUUUGAAGCUUUGAGGUUCAUUUUCUAGCAAAUACGUCAAAAAGUCUGGACCAAAAGACUUUUCUAUUCUAGCUCUCUUACUACGUCUAACCUCAAUUUCUUGUUCUUCUUCUUCUUCUGGUGCUUGAUCAUUUUCUUCAUUUUCAAGUGUUGUUUCAUGAAGUUGUUCCAAUUCUCUCGAUUCCACUCUAGAAUUGCAAGGAAACACAUGUUCAAAAAACGAUGCAUUUCUUGAUUCUAUUAUCGUAUUUUUGUGGACAUCUGGAACUUUAGACUCAUGCACCAAAAAUCGAUAUGCACUACUGUUUUGUGCAUAACCAAUGAAAAUGCAGUCAACAGUUUUUGGUCCUAUUUUCACUUUUUUAUUUAAAGGAACCACUACUUUAGCAAGACACCCCCACACUCGUAAGAAUUUAUAUGAAGGUGAUCUACCUUUCCAUAACUCAUACGGGGUUUUAUCUUCUUGCUUUCGGGGUAUCUUAUUUAAUAAAUAAUUAGCUGACAAAACAGCUUCUCCCCACAUAUUCUGGGGUAACCCAGAACUUAUCAACAUUGCAUUCAUCAUUUCCUUUAAAGUUCGAUUCUUUCGUUCUGCAAUCCCAUUAGAUUGAGGUGAAUAUGGAGUCGUGACUUGAUGUAUGAUUCCAUUUUGUUCACGAUUUAAAGUCACAAAUAUCACUAUGUAUUAAAUCAAGUGGUUGGGUGUAUCUUUUAAUUAUUUGGAAAGAUGACCUAGUUAGUUUUGCCUCAACACAAGUUUCACACUUAUGUUUCAAAUCAAUUUGGAAAUUGGGAAUAUGCUUCAUGUUAAUUAAUUUACGCAAAGAAUUAAAAUUAACAUGUCCUAAUCUACUAUGCCAAAUAUUAGAAGACUCAAGCAAAUAAGCAGAAGAUGUAGCUUUAUUAUUAAUUGUUGGUUUCAAAGUCAUUACAUUGAGCUUAAAUAGCCCAUCAUCAACAUAACCCUUUCCCACAUACAUCCCAUUUUUAGACAAAACUACCCUAUCUGACUCAAACACCAUUCGGAAACCAUGUUUAUUCAGCAGCGAUCCAGACACCAAGUUCUUCCGAAUUUCUGGCACAUAAAGCACAUUGUUCAGAGUCAGUUCUUUCCCAGAAGUCAUCUUCAAAAUCACCUUCCCUUGACCCUCAAUCUCAGACGUAGCCGAAUUCCCCAUGAAUAGCUUCUCUCCAUUGCUAACAGCUUCAAAUGAAGUGAACAACCCUUUGUCCGAGCAAACAUGUCUAGUUGCUCCUGUAUCUAUCCACCAUUCUCUUGGAUUAGAGCCAACCAGAUUCACUUCUGAAACCACUGCAGAGAGGUUUAUGUUUGAAACAUGUUGAGUGAUGUUUUCCACCACAUUCGUCUUUCGCUUCUUUUAGGCAAUCUACAAUCCGAAGCCUUGUGACCCAUCUUAUCACAAUUAUAACAUUUUCCUUGAAACUUUGUUUGUUUCUUGGAAAUUCCUCCUUUAGGGCCUAAUUUUUUUUUUUUAUUUUUAGGUCCAUGUUCAACAAAAUUUGCCUUUGCCAUAGAAAUAGCCCAUCUUCUUUCUGCAUUUCUGUUGUCUUCCUCAAUUCUUAGCUUAACAACCAGCCCUUCAAUAUUCAUCUCCUUUCGUUUAUGCUUCAAAUAGCUCUUGAAAUCUUUCCAAGCAGGAGGUAAUUUUUCAAUAAUUGCGGCAACUUGAAAAGUUUCACUUAGAUGCAUCCCUUCCGUAAGGAUUUCAGAUAAUAUAAUUUGAAGUUCUUGUACUUGACUUAUUACUGUUUUAGAAUCCACCAUUUUAAAAUCUAGGAAGCGACCAACAACAAACUUUUUGGUACCCGCAUCCUCGGUUUUAUAUUUUCGGUCUAAGGAUUCCCAUAGCUCCUUGGCUGUUUUCUUUCCUAUGUAUACAUUAUACAAGGAGUCACUAAGGCCAUUCAUUACAUAAUUUUUACACAAAAAAUCCGAAUGGUGCCAUGCAUCAAUUGCACUUGCAACUUGAAUAUCCGUUUCACCCUCUUUGGGCUUAAGAGCAUCCUCGGUCAAAAACCUCGCAAGGUUCAAUGUGGUCAAGUAAAAGAACAUCUUUUGUUGCCACCGUUUGAAAUUCUGGCCAUUGAAUUUUUCAGGCCUUUCUGCAUGAUUGACAGGAAUUGCCACAGAGGCUGGUUCCUUCACAACAGAUGGUGCAGCAACAGGGACAUACGGAAUGUCAUCAACGGUAUCAGUUACCAUCUCAAUGUCAAGGUAUAUAAAUUCUGUUUUAAGAUUGUUAUUCUAGGGUUAAUUGUGUUAGAAAAUAAAACAGUGAGAUAACAAAUUAUAUGUUAGCUAGUGUAAACUAGCAAUCGGAAACAAUAAAUGAAGAACAGAAGAGGAAGAAACCGAAUUGAAAUAAAAAGAAAGGAACCCGAGGCCUGCACAAAACAGUCUCCUUAAAACAGAUUUACCACAUAUUUGGAGUGCUUAAGGUUUAUCGGUAUCUGUUUCCCAGGAUGCAACGGGUACGAACUUCCAGUCAAGCACAGGCUGGAAUUUCUGGCGAACCACAACAGCGAACUCGAUCAGAGAAAGACGAAGAAGAACGAAUGGAAAACAAGUGUGCUUUGUGCUCGUUUUUUUUCAAGUCCAAAAAACAGAAGUGAAGGUGCCUUUUUAUACUCAAGGGAGGAUGUAACAGCUUUUGUAUUGAAUUUUCGAAUUCAAUACAUUUUAAUUAAUUGUUAUAACAGCCAAAUCAAUUUAAUAAAUUGAUUUCAAAAUUGAAUUCAAAAAAAACAUGAAUAACAGCUAAAUAAUUGUAAAAGCUGUUACCAAUUAUUUGAAUUCACAUGAACUGUUACAAUAAAAAAUUCAAAAGGAAUUAAAAACGUGCCUAGCUUGCAUGGAUGAUUUUGGGCUGACAUUCGNNNNNNNNNNNNNNNNNNNNNNNNNNNNNNNNNNNNNNNNAUGGUUAAGUGUUUAUAUUUAAACACUAAUUCCUAGGCUUCUUUUUCCCAUGUGGGAUAAUUCUUACUCAUGUUCAAAUUUCCAACUUCAAGGGUGAACUUUGAGAGACAAUUUCUCAU